rnacentral:lncRNA from 10 species
UCCUUCAGACCCAGCCUGGAGCCCCUCAGGGCCUGCAGGGCAGUUCCUAAUUCCUGUACCUCCAGGGUGUAGGCUGCUGCACACAGAACGUAUGAUUUGCUUUGAAUAAACAGGGCCACUCCUCCCUCAGUGAAUGUUUGCUGGAGGAGGGACCCCCUUGGCCUCCCUGGACUCCCCUGGAGUCUUAGCAAAGACAAGAAGUCUGAAGAUGAGAGGAGGGGGCAGGAGGGAGGUCGUCAAGCAGGGAGAAAGUUCUAGAGGGAGCUUCGCCAGUCUCCUGAAGAUGAGAGGUCAUCGAGCAGGGAGAAAGUUCAAGAGGGAGCUUCGCCAGUCUCCUGUGCGGUGGGCGUUUCUAAGCAUUUUGGUUCAAUGGUUUUGGAGAAAGAGAGCUUCUGGUUCAUUUCAAGAUUCAGCCAUUGGACACGUCUUCAACGUCCAGGAUUUUAGAGAUUGGCAGCUUUCUUUCCCCUAAUAGAAUUUCAACUUAAAUCUAUUGCUUUAGUACUUCUUUCAAUUCACUGAUUUAUUCACUGGCUCAAUCAAAUGGAUAUUUUGCAAGUGGUUUAAGUAUUUGGUAAGUGCUUGGAGUCUGAAAUAUGAAUCACACAUGAAACUGACAUUCAGCAGGGGAGAACUGCACUCAUGAAGCUACUGGAGUUGACUUGGGUGGGACAGCAUUGGGGAAACCAAAACUAAUUUCAAGUAAAGCAAAACUUCCCCCAAAUCUUCCAAGAGGUUCUUCAGUAGAUUGAUUUGUCGGUAGAUUGAAUUACUCUACUUCUGAUCCAAAUACAUGUUUCAAAUUUCAUAUACGAAAUAAUACAUUUUCUUCAUUGGAUUGCCCCCUGGAUCUUUUAAAUCCUAGUUUAUAUCCAUCCUGGUAGGCCUGGUGACCCAAUCCUUCUGUUAAGUUCCACAUCAAAUGCCUCCUGCUUUUGGAAGCUUUCCACAGCCGGGCCUGGCGCAGAGGGGGUUCCUCUGCACCUCUUUUCCAAGCAAAUGGCUGAAGGUGAUCUCUCCCUAUUUGUACAGUUCCUUCCAGAGUGCACCUCUUACGUCAUUCCUAGUGGACAAGGCCUAUUCUCCAUCCUCAGAACCCUGAAUAGUGAAAUAAAGCCCAUCAAUGCUUAAAC